AUAACANCCCAUUCGCCCGAGAACUACCAGCAAAAGCUAAAAACUCAAAAGACUUGACGGUGCUCUACCCUACCUAGAGGAGCCUGUCCUAUAAUCGAUACCCCACGAUUCACCCAACCACUACUAGCACCACAGCCUAUAUACCGCCGUCGAAAGUAUAUCCUGCAAAGGAUCCAUAAUUAUCUCAACAGCCCGAACCACUAAAACGUCAGGUCAAGGCAUAGCUAAUGUAGAGGCAGAGAUGGGCUACAUUUUCUGAGCACAGAACAAACGAAAAGUGACAUGAAACCUGCUAUUUAAAGAUGGAUUUAGCAGUAAGAUGAAAA
rnacentral:rRNA from 1 species